rnacentral:rRNA from 1 species
UACGUAGGGUGCGAGCGUUAAUCGGAAUUACUGGGCGUAAAGCGUGCGCAGGCGGCGCCGCAAGUCGAGUGUGAAAUCCCCGAGCUUAACUUGGGAAUUGCGCUCGAAACUACGGUGCUGGAGUGUGGCAGAGGGAGGUGGAAUUCCACGUGUAGCGGUGAAAUGCGUAGAGAUGUGGAGGAACACCGAUGGCGAAGGCAGCCUCCUGGGCCAACACUGACGCUCAUGCACGAAAGCGUGGGGAGCGAACAGG